GGAGGGGUUAGCUCGGUGGUAGAGCGUGUGCUUAGCAUGCACGAGGUCCUGGAUUCGAUACCUAGUACCUCCA
rnacentral:tRNA from 1 species